rnacentral:lncRNA from 1 species
UGUGGGUUAGGGGAAUAAACAGGCUGGAGCUAGAACCUCGUUGUCGCCGCUCCUUAUUUUUUAGAUCAUACUAAAUGGUGUCAGUUGUUUUAAAAUUCACAUAAACGUUAAGGACGUACCAAGUAAAUCAUACAUCCAGGCUGUUUCAAAGCAGGGAGGGCAGUGUUGGAGAUAAAACAGCGCAUAUCAUUAUUUUGCUAGCUAACGAGCAAGGACUAAGUUACUGCUAAGCAACAUGUUGCAAGAGGAAGAAGCUGGCGGGAUUUCAGGGUUUGCGACUCCCAAGUUCAACGGGCUCUGGCGCAAACACGGACAGGCCAGUGGCUAGUGCUGACGGAUUUCGCAUUAGUCCCCCGGAGAAUUUUGUUUGUAUGGACAUUCAAAACUGGCCGAAAUGGAUCGGGCGCUUUGAAAGGUACAGGGUAGCAUCAGGCUUAAACGUGAAAAAAAUGAGGCAUUUCAAGUUAAUACACUGAUCUACUCUAUGGGUGAUGAAGCCGAGGAUACAUUAAAUGCUUCAACGUUGACUGAGGAAGAGACACUUAACUACAGUGCCGUUAAAGACUGUUUUGAAACGCAUUUUGUAGGGAGACGCAACAUUAUAUUUGAGAGAGCUAGGUUUAAUAUGCGCAAACAGGAGCAGGGUGAAACCACCUGACAGUUUUAUCACAGCUGUUCACAAACUAGCAGAACAUUGUCCGUUUGGCGCGCUCGGGGAAGAGCUGAUCCGAGAUCGUAUUGUAGUGGCAAUAAGAAAUAUAUCACUUUCUGAAAAGUUACAGUUGGAUUCCCAGCUUACCUUGUCUAAAGCUGUAAACCAGGUUAGGCAGAGUGAGACAGUAAAAAGAUAGCAGCUCCGUGCAGAGCGAAGAGAGUGAGGAAAUAAAUGCAUUUUUAUUCCCGAGCUAAAAAAAAAACGGAGGGGAACACAGAACAGCACCAGUAGCUAGUUCAAGUGUUUGUCGCAAAUGUGGGAAAUCCCCUUUCCACAGAUGGAAAGAUUGCCCAGCAAAGGAUGCGGAAUGCAGGAAAUGUCACAGGAGAGGACACUUUCCAGCUGUCUGUCGAUUAAAGCAAAUGCAUGAGGUCUCAGAGGGGGUACAGCAGGACAGCAUCUUUCUGGGAGAAGUAAAGGAAAACAAUGCUGGCUGGCGUUCAGACAUUACACUCAAUGGGGAGGUUGUGUCAUUUAAACUAGACACUGGGGCAGCAGUGACAGCUAUCCCAACUAGGCUGUAUAGCUAUAGCAGAGAUGGCCCUUUGCUCUCUACAAACACAAAACUGUACGGGCCCAGUAAUACGAUUUUACCAGUGGUAGGGCACUUGGUGAUUAAACUGGAGAGUAAAGACAAAAGUGGCAUCCAGCCUGUCUUCGUCAUUGACUCUCCAGCCAGACCGUUGCUGGGGCUGCCAGCAAUUGAAGCAUUUACGUCAUUUAGCAGACGCUCUUAUAUCCAGAGCGACUUACAUUGCAACUCAUUGAGAGAGUGAGCGAACUGGAGGACCCAGGUGAGGUUUUCAAAAAGAAAUUCCCCAAAGUGUUUUCUGGUCUAGGAAGGAUAGAAGGUGACUACAAAAUCCGCCUGAAAGAGGAUGCUGUCCCCUAUGCCCUUACCCACCUCCCGCCGUGUGCCUAUCCCUUUAUUGGCCAGAGUAAAGGAAGAGUUGGGGAGGAUGGAAGAAAUUGGGGCGGUGUCUAAAAUAGAGAGUCCCACAGACUGGUGUGCAGGGAUGUGAGGUCUGUACAAAAUGUCAACCUUGUCAUCCGGAGCCAAUGAUGGCAAAGGAGCUGCCAAAACGGCCAUGGCAAAAGGUUGGGACAGAUAUGUUCUAUUUGAAAAAUGACACUUAUCUGCUAGUGGUAGAUUACUACUCAAGAUACAUUGAAAUAGCAAAGACACCCAUAACCACAUCAGCUGGUGUUAUCAAUGGAUUAAAGUCAAUUUUUUUCCAGGCAAGGGGUCGCUGAGGUCCUGGUUACAGAUAACGCUCCCCAGUUCUCUGCAAGCUCCUUUUCUCUGUUUUCACAGAGAGAGCUGCGAAAACAGUCAAGGGACUGCUGAAAAAGAACAAGGAUCCAUACAGGGCUCUUUUAGCUGACAGAGUUACACCACUGCAUCAUGGGCUGUCGCCUGCCGAGCUCCUGAUGGGCAGGAGGCUGCGUUCCCCAUUGCCUCUCUUGCCGGCUCAGCUUAAACCCCGAUGGCCUAACAGGGAGGCCUUCGCUGAGAGGGACAAACGGCUGAAACAAAUGCGAACUGGAGACUUUAAUCGAAGACACCGUGCUACGGAGAGGCCAGAGCUGACCGAAGGUCAACGUGUGUGGAUUACAAACUCAAAGACACCAGCAAUAGUGCUGAGGAAAGCGGAUGCCCCACGCUCCUAUGUGGUGGACACAGGCUCAGAAGAGGUACGAAGGAACAAAACACACCUCAGAGCUCUUCCAGAUCUACCAGCCACACAGACUGAGGCCACAGAAAACGCACAAAAAGAGGGUGAAGGAGAGAGAAUGCUCACAGAGCCACAAGCGCGCCCAAAAAGGGAUGUGAAGCCACCAGGCUGAAAGACUAUGUUACGUGAAGAGAAAACAUACUGUUGGGGACCAUACCCAGCAAAAAGAGACUAAACAUUUUCAGUGCAAACAAGAACACAGACCCUGGCCUCCUGUCUUGCAAAGACCCCUCCUCAGAAAGGAGUUCGUCUUGGGACUUCACAAGAACAUUAAUCAAAGCAGAUAUACCUCUUGAGAAGAGGCCCAAGUUCUCCACAUUUCUGAAGAAACACUGCAAGCAGGGAGGGUCUAUCCCAGCGCCAUCCCACCUGCACACAGAGUACUUUCCAGAGCUCUACCCACAAUAUCCAGCCCAGGUGGUAGGGGCAAGAAAGGACAUUAAGGACUAUUUCCAUGCCAUCCCUGCUCUUUUAAAGAUGUUGAUGGCAAAGUACAAAGCAUUGAGCACUAAAAAGCAUGUCAAGUCACACAUCUACCAACUCUCCCACUCUUUCUGUGUUUUGGUUUGAAGCAAUUUGAUAAUAGUUAUAUGGUGAAUGGAAUGACGAGACAAAAUUGUUAAUCUAAUCUAUUUCGUGUUUAUGUAUUUAUUGAUGGAUUCAUCAAUGUAUUAUUUGUAUUUAUGUACCUUUGCACUUUGUUGAUGAUGCUCU